CAGCCAGGAUGUUGGCUUAGAAGCAGCCAUCAUUUAAAGAAAGCGUAAUAGCUCACUGGUCGAGUCGGUCUGCGCGGAAGAUGUAACGGGGCUAAACUAGACACCGAAGCUGCGGAUGCACACUUGUUGUGCAUGGUAGAGGAGCGUUCUGUAAGCGGUUGAAGGUGUGUCGAGAGGCAUGCUGGACGUAUCAGAAGUGCGAAUGCUGACAUGAGUAACGUUAAAGCGGGUGAAAAACCCGCUCGCCGGAAGA
rnacentral:rRNA from 1 species